AGCCGGCUCAGCAAUGUUCUGACCACUGUCCCUCGCCUCACCAGAUGGCCGUUCCUCCUGCCUCAGCUGCCUCUAGGCUAAGCCAGACAGCCCUGACCAUGCAGGACCUGGGAUCCUCCGAGCAGCCAGCAGCACUGAUCCCGUGGCAUGGUGCAGCGUGGGAGCACUGAAGAAGCCCCUUGUGGGUCCUUAUCUUCUGGCCAGCCCCACCUCUUCAGGGAGACCGAGGCUGACCACCCAUCCCUGCCCAAGACAUCGCUCCUUCCUCUGAAAUCGGAGUAUGGUAAACUGAGGCCCUGACACUCCGCAGUGCAUCGCUGUGUAGAGAUCUGAGGUCCAGUGAUGUAAGCAUG